rnacentral:rRNA from 1 species
GACGUAGGGCGCAAGCGUUGUCCGGAUUUAUUGGGCGUAAAGAGCUCGUAGGCGGCUCGUUGCGUCGGCUGUGAAAACCCGCAGCUUAACUGUGGGCCUGCAGCCGAUACGGGCGGGCUGGAGUUCGGUAGGGGAGACUGGAAUUCCUGGUGUAGCGGUGAAAUGCGCAGAUAUCAGGAGGAACACCGGUGGCGAAGGCGGGUCUCUGGGCCGAUACUGACGCUGAGGAGCGAAAGCGUGGGGAGCGAACAGG